rnacentral:tRNA from 1 species
AAUAAAAUGCCUGAUUAAAGGAUUAUUCUGAUAGAAUAAAUUAAAUAAUUUUAAAAUUAUAUUUAUUU